rnacentral:lncRNA from 1 species
GAAAAAUGAAAACUUGUAAUGCUGAAAUGGAACUAUUGAAAUCAGCAACAGAAAUGAAAGCCAGGCAAAUAAAAAAUUUAAAUGGUACGUGCUCAUUAACCCUUAAUUGUCUCAAGAAAGCUCGUUGACAAAUAAAUCAAAUAAGUUCUGCUGUUUUAGAAAGCGAUUCUGCAGUGAAAUGGUUUCUGCUAUCACAAGCAAAUGAAGCAACAGAUCAAAGCCAAUCAUAGAUAUCUGCAAUAANNN